rnacentral:rRNA from 1 species
UACAUGCAAGUCGAGCGAAUGACGAAGAAGCUUGCUUCUUCUGAUUUAGCGGCGGACGGGUGAGUAACACGUGGGCAACCUGCCCUGUAGAUUGGGAUAACUCCGGGAAACCGGGGCUAAUACCGAAUAAUCCAUUUCCUCACAUGGGGAGAUGUUAAAAGACGGUUUCGGCUGUCACUACAGGAUGGGCCCGCGGCGCAUUAGCUAGUUGGUGAGGUAACGGCUCACCAAGGCGACGAUGCGUAGCCGACCUGAGAGGGUGAUCGGCCACACUGGGACUGAGACACGGCCCAGACUCCUACGGGAGGCAGCAGUAGGGAAUCUUCCACAAUGGACGAAAGUCUGAUGGAGCAAUGCCGCGUGAGUGAAGAAGGUUUUCGGAUCGUAAAACUCUGUUGUGAGGGAAGAACAAGUACGAGAGUAACUGCUCGUACCUUGACGGUACCUCAUUAGAAAGCCACGGCUAACUACGUGCCAGCAGCCGCGGUAAUACGUAGGUGGCAAGCGUUGUCCGGAAUUAUUGGGCGUAAAGCGCGCGCAGGCGGUCCUUUAAGUCUGAUGUGAAAUCCCACGGCUCAACCGUGGAAGGUCAUUGGAAACUGGGGGACUUGAGUACAGAAGAGGAAAGCGGAAUUCCAAGUGUAGCGGUGAAAUGCGUAGAGAUUUGGAGGAACACCAGUGGCGAAGGCGGCUUUCUGGUCUGUAACUGACGCUGAGGCGCGAAAGCGUGGGGAGCAAACAGGAUUAGA